UUUUGAACAGUAAAUUUGAAGAUCUUAGAUUUUUGUUGAUUUCUGGAUUACCUAUCCAAACGAGGAGAAAACACAACUAAUACUUCUCCACUCAAAAUCGAUUUUUCGUUUACACAUUUCUAUUUAUCGUUACACACAAUAAUCUAAAUUAUCCUGUACCUUACCUUUUCAAUAAUUAGCUAUGGUACAAAUUUUCGAUUUCUACUCAUGAGCA